GCGUUGGUGAAGCUCAUCCAAUUUAUAUGUUUUAGUGUGCAAGCAUGUUCAAAUGAAGUACGAUGAAGAUCUCCGUUUUCCUGCUGGUGGUGCUCUCUGCCACUCUGCUCUGCGGUGACUCCAAGGCCAAUGGAGAUGUUACGAAAUUCAAAAACCAGCACAUAUUUCCACAAGUACUUUGCGAUGAAUUGAUUGAAUUCAGUGUAACCCAUGGUUAUUUUAUUGACAAUUGUAUUGUAUUUUUAUUCUAAUUUUAAGUGUUACUGUUUUGUUAAGUGCUGAGUUUUCCCAUGUACCGUGAAUGCACCAUAGCGCUGUGCGUGGUGACUUUCUUUCACUGCAUCCGCCUGCACGGAGCUAGAUGCACAAAGCUGUGUGGAGAUUCAGUCCUGUAACGUGUUGCGCUACGGAAUUGUUUUCUUUGAAGAAUAUCCUGGCUGGUUUUUUUUGUGGUAGAAAUCUGCUGCAAGGACCGAGUGGUGCCAUCUAAGGACUGGAUGCCACUGGAGGUGCCUAGAAAGGACAUUCUCAAUCUGAAGGCCACCUGUUUCCUUGGAGGGUGGUAGGAUACAACGAUUUGCAAUUUUUUUUUAAGGAUUAACGUUUUUUUUUACUGAGAUCUCAGGACGCUUUAUGUUGUUACUUUUUCCUUUUUUGGGUCAGAUCUGAUUCCACUUAGCACAAAAAACUGAUGCAUCUAAAAGCAAAACUGUGACUAAAGACAAUUAACACUUACUGAGAACACUGAACACUAAGUGCACUAAACUGGAAUGGACAGCCUAUCUAAUACAUUUAUGGACACUUGAAGUGAUACAUUGUACAUUGUUGAUAUUUACAUGUUUGAAUUGAUUUAAAUGUUUUGUUCAUGUCUAUGUUGGACCAUUUAAAUGUUGAAUACACUCAAAUCACUUUUUUCCUUUAAGUUGUUGUCAGUGUCUCAUUCUGAGUGGAGGGUUUUUCCUUCUUUAAGUUGAGUUACCACUGCCAGUCUCCUUACGAUCCUAACUGAACCCAACAAGAGUAGAUUCUGAAAUAUUGUUUUCCCUUGACUUUGUAUGACAGAUUAGUGUGGAUUUGAUUGAUUUUUGACUACUCAGUUAAAAAGGGUGACAUCAGGAAAAUCAGAGAUGACAAUAACCACUGUAAGAGAGCGAAUACCUUCAUCUUUGAUACGUUUGACAACGUUAAAAAAAAUCUGUGAUGAAAAAUAUCUUGUUGAUUACCAAGUUUAUGAAAGCCCUGAACCAGUGGAUAUUUUGUACUGUAGGCUGACUGGAGGAAAAUACGGCCGUCCUUGUAGGUACAAAGAGGUCUGGCUGAAAAAGAAGAUUGAAAUCAUAUGCGACACACAUGGUCAGCCUGUACAAUUUAAAAAGUUUGUUUGAUCUGACUACUGAUGUGUACUCGCUACGAUCUUUAUACAUCAUAUCAUGAUGUUGCUUUGGA